AUUUYAGGUGCUUGCACUUGAAAGAUUUAACAUUGAGACGAGUGGCGAACUGGUGAGUAACACGUGGGUAACCUGCCCUUGAAGUAGGGGAUAACACUUGGAAACAGGUGCUAAUACCGUAUAACAACCAAAACCACCUGGUUUUGGUUUAAAAGACGGCUUCGGCUGUCACUUUAGGAUGGACCCGCGGCGUAUUAGCUUGUUGGUAAGGUAACGGCCUACCAAGGCGAUGAUACGUAGCCGACCUGAGAGGGUAAUCGGCCACAUUGGGACUGAGACACGGCCCAAACUCCUACGGGAGGCAGCAGUAGGGAAUCUUCCACAAUGGACGAAAGUCUGAUGGAGCAACGCCGCGUGAGUGAUGAAGGGUUUCGGCUCGUAAAACUCUGUUGUUGGAGAAGAACAGGUGUCAGAGUAACUGUUGACAUCUUGACGGUAUCCAACCAGAAAGCCACGGCUAACUACGUGCCAGCAGCCGCGGUAAUACGUAGGUGGCAAGCGUUGUCCGGAUUUAUUGGGCGUAAAGCGAGCGCAGGCGGUUUUUUAGGUCUGAUGUGAAAGCCUUCGGCUUAACCGGAGAAGUGCAUCGGAAACCGGGAGACUUGAGUGCAGAAGAGGACAGUGGAACUCCAUGUGUAGCGGUGAAAUGCGUAGAUAUAUGGAAGAACACCAGUGGCGAAGGCGGCUGUCUGGUCUGUAACUGACGCUGAGGCUCGAAAGCAUGGGUAGCGAACA
rnacentral:rRNA from 2 species